CACAAAAUUUGACCGCAAAUGCAUGUAUGCAUGAUGCAAAAGACAGACAGACACAGAGACACAGGAGUGCAAACUCUACUGGGGAAGGACAUACACCGACUCAAUGCAUGAAGGUAAACACUGAGAAUACUCAGCUGGGGAAGAUUCACUACCUAUUCAUAGAUGGAAAAUAGGAGGAAAAGAGAUAUCGACUCAAUGUUGACGAUACAUCACUAUCUCAUAGAUGAAAGUGGGAAAAGAUCAAUAUAACAAGAGUACUGAUGUGACAGUACAUUACCAACUCAAAGAUGGAGGUAACAGAAAAGAUGAAUACCAACUCAAGGAUGAAGGUAUAACAAGGGCAUAAUAAGAAUCGAACUGCGUUAACUCAUGGUUGACAGCUCACUACCCACUCAUUGAUGAGGUAAACAGGACAUGCCAACUCAAAGUUGAAGGCAAGCUUCAAAAGAUUGAUAAUAACACUGCUAGGGAAAUCAAAUUCCAACUCAUUGAUGAUGGUGUAGAUGAAGAAUCAGAUCUAAGGAUCAUUGUGCAGACUUACAGUUGAAUGCACACUACCAACUCAUUGAUGAGGUAGACAGAGAAAUGCCGACUCAAAGUUGAAGGCAACCACCGAUUCAUUGACAAAGGUGUUUAAAAGAAUUUAGAACAUAUUCUCCUGGAGAUGUUUAUCAUUACCGACUCAAAGAUGACGGUGGAAGGACAAA
rnacentral:lncRNA from 1 species